CCUACGGGAGGCAGCAGUAGGGAAUAUUGCGCAAUGGACGGAAGUCUGACGCAGCGACGCCGCGUGAGCGAUGAAGGUCUUCGGAUCGUAAAGCUCUGUCCUUGGGGAAGAAGGCGAAAGCUUGACGGUACCCAAGAAGAAAGCCCCGGCUAACUACGUGCCAGCAGCCGCGGUAAUACGUAGGGGGCGAGCGUUGUCCGGAAUUACUGGGCGUAAAGGGUGCGUAGGCGGCCCUUUAAGUCGGAUGUGAAAGCCCGCGGCUUAACCGCGGAAUGGCAUUCGAAACUGGAGGGCUUGAGUGUCGGAGAGGGUAGUGGAAUUCCCAGUGUAGCGGUGAAAUGCGUAGAUAUUGGGAGGAACACCAGUGGCGAAGGCGACUACCUGGACGAUAACUGACGCUGAGGCACGAAAGCUAGGGGAGCAAACAGGAUUAGAUACCCUGGUAGUCCUAGCCGUAAACGA
rnacentral:rRNA from 1 species